rnacentral:lncRNA from 1 species
AUAAUAUUUAAUUAAUAUUAACUAGAUUCAACAGAAUUGAAAAAAAACUUCAAGCAUAUUUCGAUGGAAUCAUACACAACUAACAACUCUAACAUCUAAUUGAGGUUACUGACAAAUAGAUAAUUCAUUUUAAAUUAGGAAGAAAUUAACAGAAUCAACAUCAGUUAAAAAAAGUCUAACAUAAUUACUAACAAAUACAAACAGAACUAACUAAAUGCAACUUAAUGAUUUAGAGUAAAUUUCAGAUAUUUGAUAUGAAUUCCAAUUUCAUUUGAAUGAUAAUUCCUAACUAACUAUCAAAUUUGGGAGGAAGUUCAUUGUGAAUUUCAACCUAAAUUCUAACCAACACAGAAUUAUAUAAAAAUGUACCGUACUGAGAUUCUGCAGUUUCUUCAAAAAAAACUUCGAAAUCUUCAAUCCUUCACUCUUUCAGUCUCGUUUUCUUCACCUUCUCGCAAUUGAUUCAUCAUGCAUUUCCGUUUCAGAUCCUCGCGCCGCCAAGCUCACACCGUACAUCGAUCUACAACUUCACCAUAAAAGCGGUUCUACUGUCGCCGAUUGUCGCCGCGUCAGAGUUCCAUUCCGGUAAGACGCAACGGUCUCGGCGAUUCCGUCGUGGCUGUGAAUAAGGUUUCUUGUUGUUUGGUUGUGUAUUUCGUCGGACAACCAACAGUUUGUUGUGAGGCGAAGGAAGGGGGUUUCCGGCAGAUGAGGUUUCGUGGAGGGAGCUCGUCGGUAGUGAUAUUGUUGUUCGACGGUGUGGUUAUGAAGUGGUUCUUUGGUUGAUGGAAGACGGUGAAGUGAAGCACGGUAAAGUAGGUUGGGUUUGCCGGCGGCGAAGGUGAAGGGUUGUUGAUGACGGUGUGUGAGCAAGCUUUUCCCCGGUAUUGGUGGCGGAUGGAGAGAGGAUGGGGUUUGGUUUUUGUGUGUUGAAGUGGAGAUGAAGGAAGAAGAAGGUUAUGGUGGUGGCUUGCGUUUCGUGGACGGAGAUGUGGGGAGCGGCGAUGAGGGUUUGUGUUGAGAGAGAGAGCUUCUUUUUCGUCCCGUUG